AUUGAACGCUGGCGGCAGGCCUAACACAUGCAAGUCGCACGAGUGGCGGACGGGUGAGUAAUUUCUGGGAAACUGCCUGAUGGUGGGGGAUAACUACUGGAAACGGUCGCUAAUACCGCAUACCAUCAGAUGUGCCCAUAUGUGAUUCGCUUGUUGGUGGGGUAACGGCUCACCGAGGCGACGCUCCCUAGCUGGUCUGAGAGGAUGAACAGCCACACUGGAACUGAGACACGGUCCAGACUCCUACGGGAGGCAGCAGUGGGGAAUAUGGCACAAUGGGCGCAAGCCUGAUGCAGCCAUGCCGCGUGUAUGAAGAAGGCCUUCGGGUUGUAAAGUACUUUCAGCGGGGAGGCGUUACCCGAAGAAUAAGCACCGGCUAACUCCGUGCCAGCAGCCGCGGUAAUAC
rnacentral:rRNA from 1 species